GCAAGUCGAACGAACUCUGGUAUUGAUUGGUGCUUGCAUCAUGAUUUACAUUUGAGUGAGUGGCGAACUGGUGAGUACACGUGGGAAACCUGCCCAGAAGCGGGGGAUAACACCUGGAAACAGAUGCUAAUACCGCAUAACAACUUGGACCGCAUGGUCCGAGCUUGAAAGAUGGCUUCGGCUAUCACUUUUGGAUGGUCCCGCGGCGUAUUAGCUAGAUGGUGGGGUAACGGCUCACCAUGGCAAUGAUACGUAGCCGACCUGAGAGGGUAAUCGGCCACAUUGGGACUGAGACACGGCCCAAACUCCUACGGGAGGCAGCAGUAGGGAAUCUUCCACAAUGGACGAAAGUCUGAUGGAGCAACGCCGCGUGAGUGAAGAAGGGUUUCGGCUCGUAAAACUCUGUUGUUAAAGAAGAACAUAUCUGAGAGUAACUGUUCAGGUAUUGACGGUAUUUAACCAGAAAGCCACGGCUAACUACGUGCCAGCAGCCGCGGUAAUACGUAGGUGGCAAGCGUUGUCCGGAUUUAUUGGGCGUAAAGCGAGCGCAGGCGGUUUUUUAAGUCUGAUGUGAAAGCCUUCGGCUCAACCGAAGAAGUGCAUCGGAAACUGGGAAACUUGAGUGCAGAAGAGGACAGUGGAACUCCAUGUGUAGCGGUGAAAUGCGUAGAUAUAUGGAAGAACACCAGUGGCGAAGGCGGCUGUCUGGUCUGUAACUGACGCUGAGGCUCGAAAGUAUGGGUAGCAAACAGGAUUAGAUACCCUGGUAGUCCAUACCGUAAACGAUGAAUGCUAAGUGUUGGAGGGUUUCCGCCCUUCAGUGCUGCAGCUAACGCAUUAAGCAUUCCGCCUGGGGAGUACGGCCGCAAGGCUGAAACUCAAAGGAAUUGACGGGGGCCCGCACAAGCGGUGGAGCAUGUGGUUUAAUUCGAAGCUACGCGAAGAACCUUACCAGGUCUUGACAUACUAUGCAAAUCUAAGAGAUUAGACGUUCCCUUCGGGGACAUGGAUACAGGUGGUGCAUGGUUGUCGUCAGCUCGUGUCGUGAGAUGUUGGGUUAAGUCCCGCAACGAGCGCAACCCUUAUUAUCAGUUGCCAGCAUUAAGUUGGGCACUCUGGUGAGACUGCCGGUGACAAACCGGAGGAAGGUGGGGAUGACGUCAAAUCAUCAUGCCCCUUAUGACCUGGGCUACACACGUGCUACAAUGGAUGGUACAACGAGUUGCGAACUCGCGAGAGUAAGCUAAUCUCUUAAAGCCAUUCUCAGUUCGGAUUGUAGGCUGCAACUCGCCUACAUGAAGUCGGAAUCGCUAGUAAUCGCGGAUCAGCAUGCCGCGGUGAAUACGUUCCCGGGCCUUGUACACACCGCCCGUCACACCAUGAGAGUUUGUAACACCCAAAGUCGGUGG
rnacentral:rRNA from 2 species